rnacentral:sRNA from 1 species
UCUCUGUGUGCUGACAGUGUGGGCUUCUACCCCACUUAAGCUCAGACCACAUAUAUCAGCUUGAUAUUAUCAGGCAGUGUGCUGAAGACCUGGGCAGUUGGCACUGGGCCCAUGGAUUUGUCCUCUGGCCCUUUGGGGUCAAGCACCAUCUGUGAUAUAAGUGGAUGCCGUGCUGUGGGCACCCUUCUGCAGGACCAGCCAGGUAGGUCAUCUUGGACGGUGCCAGCAGGCAAAGUGGUGCAUGGAUCAGAUUCACCUCAGCCCCAUGAUAGCUACAACCCUGCUCUCUCUCAGCCUGGCAGACAGCAGCAGAUGGAUCCCCUCAGUGCAAGAUGCAGAGCCUCGGAGGAUGGGCACCUGUGGUCAGCUGCAGCUGCAUAGCACAGUGAAAACUGCAGAUUUCCACAAGAGUUUAAGCUGUGCCUCUGCCUAUUCUCCAGGUGGCUCCCCCUGCCAGUUCACAGAUGUAUAGGGAUCAUAUGAGAGUCUAUAAUCAGGAGCUCAGACUAGAUUUAGCUGGGAAAUGCCUUUCAAGGAGAAGGAACCAAAGUGAGAAUCUCAGAGGUCCAUGGCUAGACUGUGUUGCCAUGGGGUUUCUUCACAUAUCCCUUCCAUAAGCCUGGUCUGGAUCUACGAGCCAGUCCUGGUGCCCAGUGACUUUGAGCAAGCUUCCCAUCUUCCUCUUCAACCACAGUGUCUGCAUUACCUCUGAAUUAAGCUUUUUCUCAAAAGAUCUGUUUAAAGUAUGAUGUUUUACUCAACAUUUUGUUUUCUCUCCUUGGAGUGAGUGUUUCCCAGCUGCAUCUAGUAAGUCAUCCUGUCCUUUUCUUAAUUUUCUAUGUUAGAUUUGUAAAGUAUAUGUAUCUGAGUCUGAAAAUAACAAGUGGGAUAUUUUGUUAAUUUCAUAUUUCAGCUAUGUCUUCUCAUUACACUGAAGACCUUUUGCCAGAACAGGGCAUGCAAGAUUCAUUCCAAAAAGUGAUACUGAGAAGAUAUGGAAGCUGUGGACUUGAGGAUUUACACUUAAGGAAGGAUGGGGAAAAUGUGGGUGAGUGUAAGGAUCAAAAAGAAAUUUAUAAUGGACUUAACCAAUGUUUGUCAACUCUACCUAGCAAAAUUUUCCCAUAUAAUAAAUGUGUGAAAGUCUUUAGUAAAUCAUCAAAUCUAAAUAGAGAAAACAUAAGACAUACUACAGAGAAACUUUUCAAAUGUAUGCAAUGUGGCAAAGUCUUUAAAUCUCACUCAGGCCUUUCUUAUCAUAAGAUAAUUCACACUGAAGAGAAACUCUGCAUAUGUGAGGAAUGUGGCAAAACCUUUAAGUGGUUCUCAUACCUUACUAAACAUAAGAGAAUUCACACUGGAGAGAAACCAUACAAAUGUGAAGAAUGUGGCAAAGCUUUUAACUGGUGCUCGAGUCUUACUAAACAUAAGAGAAUCCAUACUGGUGAGAAACCCUACAAAUGUGAAGAAUGCGGAAAAGCCUUUCACUGGUGUUCACCCUUUGUUAGACAUAAGAAAAUUCAUACUGGAGAAAAACCCUAUACAUGUGAAGACUGUGGCAGAGCGUUUAACCGGCACUCACAUCUCACCAAACAUAAGACAAUUCACACUGGAAAGAAACCCUACAAAUGUAAAGAAUGUGGGAAAGCCUUUAACCACUGCUCACUACUUACUAUACAUGAGAGAACCCAUACGGGAGAGAAACCCUAUAAAUGUGAAGAAUGUGGCAAAGCUUUUAACUCAUCAUCAAUUCUUACUGAACAUAAGGUAAUUCAUAGCGGAGAGAAACCCUACAAAUGUGAAAAAUGUGACAAAGUCUUUAAGAGGUUCUCAUACCUUACUAAACACAAGAGAAUUCACACUGGAGAGAAACCCUACAAAUGUGAAGAAUGUGGCAAAGCUUUUAACUGGUCCUCCAUCCUUACUGAACAUAAGAGAAUUCAUACUGGAGAGAAACCCUACAACUGUGAAGAAUGUGGAAAAGCCUUUAAUCGGUGCUCACACCUUACUAGACAUAAGAAAAUCCAUACUGCAGUCAAACGCUAUAAAUGUGAAGAAUGUGGCAAAGCUUUUAAACGGUGCUCACAUCUUAAUGAACAUAAGAGAGUUCAAAGAGGAGGGAAAUCCUGCAAGUAUAAAAAAUGUGGGGAAGCUUUUAAUCACUGCUCAAACCUUACUACGUAAGAAUUUUUACUAAAGAGAAAUCCUACAAAUGUAAAGAAUGUGGCAAAGUCCAUAAAUCUUGCUCAAGCCAUUGAAAUCACAAGAUAGUUCAUACUGGAGAGAAACACUACAAAUGUGAAGAAUGUGGGGAAAGUCUUCAACCAUUGCUCACAGCUUAUUGCACAGAAGAAAAUUCAUGCUGAGAAAAAUUCUGAUUUUAAAGAAUGUGGCAAAGCAUUUAAUAACUACUAUGAACUUACUCAUCAGAGGUUUUGUGCUAGAUAAAAGCAAUAUAAGUGUAAUGAUACACAUUACAUUUAUCUGUGGAAAGAUGUCACUAAAUAAAAGCCUUAGAGUACACAAGGUGUAAUGAUAGUGAUACAUUACAUUUGUACAUGGAAAGACUUCAAAAAUAUAAGCCUUAGAGUACACAAGAGUUUUUAUACUGAAGAAAAACAUUACAAAUACAAAGAUUGGUGCAAUACUUUUACUUAUGUUACAGAUUUUGUUGUACAUAGGAGAAUUUAUACUGAAAGGUAACCCUCUAACAGUUGCUCAAAUUUUAUUUCAUUUUAGAGAAUUUACAUUGGAAAGAAACCCUACAACUGUAAUGAAUAUGAAAAAAAUUGUUUAAAAAGUACACCUUAGAAAACGCUAGUUUAAGGCCGGGCGCGGUGGCUCACGCUUAUAAUCCCAGCACUUUGGGAGGCCGAGGCAGGCGGAUCACGAGGUCAGGAGAUCGAGACCACGAUGAAACCCUCUCUCUACUAAAAAUACAAAAAAAUUACCCGGGCAUGUUGUCGGGCGCCUGUAGUCCCAGCUACUCGGAGAGGCUGAGGCAGGGGAAUGGCGUGAACCCGAGAGGCAGAGCUUGCAGUGAGCCAAGAUCGCGCCACUGAACUCCAACCUGGGCGACAGAGACUCUGUCUCAAAAAAAAAGAGAAAACGCUAGUUUAUAUGAAAGCAUUUAACAGAUGCAGUAAAUAUAAAAAAUUAAGUCUAAAUGAACAUCAGAAGAUUCACAGUAGAAACCACUAAGACGCUAACACUUUCAAUGUUAUUCUGAAUCAGGGCAUUGAUUAUAAAGAGUAAUUCAAGGUUAACAUAAUUUAGUUAGCCUAAACAGGAAUAGGAGAUUAAUAUUUUGAGACUUAAACAAUUAUAUUCAAAGUACACUGUUUUUGCAUUGAAAGAAUUUUAGAUUUUUACAAAGGCAAAUUUUGAUGUAAUUGAACUCUCAAAUUACUUGAUGCUGUGUCUUUGUUCCUAGUGUCUGUAUGAAAGCAUGUGGUCAAUUUCUGCUGCUCGGGGUUUGAGAAGUUCUAUAUUAGGCUGUCAUUUAUAUACUUUCAACAGAAGAUCGAGGACACUGAAAUAUGAGGUGUGUGAAAAAAGUACACAGAAACUUUUGUGGUUGACUUAUAAAACUUGUAAGUGCUGCAUGAGAUAGAUGUUCAGAGUAAUAGUCUUGUGCAUUAUUCAAAUUUUAGUAAAUUGUUUUACCAAUUGCACAUUAGAUAGUAUAGUGGAUUUUGUAAUGCUUUUCUUAGACUGUGUGAACUUAAUUUGUUUCAAUAAAACAAAAUUAUUUUUAAUGUGUU